GUCUAUGGCCAUACCACCCUGAACACGCCCGAUUUUGUCUCAUCUCAGAAACUAAGCAGGGAAAGGCCUGGUUACUAUUUGGUGGAGCGAUGUAGAAC
rnacentral:rRNA from 1 species